rnacentral:tRNA from 1 species
GGGCCCGUAGCUCAGCUAGGUAGGAUUCUUGACGACAAGUUUCCCUAGAAAGAGCAUCUGGCUUUUAACCAGAUGGCCCGGGGUUCGAAUCCCCGCGGGCCCG